ensembl:lncRNA
UAAAAACUAGUUUCACAGGUGACUAGUUGGCAGAUGGGAACAGAAAUGGGAUUUCGAUAAAUGGGAAAUGAGCUGGUUAUUGAAGUCCAGCAAACGCUGUUCUUUUGAAUGUAGGUACGGGGUGCCCCUGCUACACAGCAAGGGAGGGCGUAAAACUAAGGUAGUGCUCCAGCUCAAACAAUUCUCGCCGUGCGACCUUGGCAACGAACCAGCGGGUCAGCGCACAUCCGGCUCAACAACGUGUUGAUACGGAUUCGGAGAGGCGAGGCGUUUAUGAAGGUUUUGCCAGAAUGUGCACCAAAAAAGCUAUGAAAAUUUGAAUGUUAAAUAUGAUUCAUAUUUCAGUGUCAUUCAAAUAUAAGUCAAGCUAUGAAAAAGUAAUAGAAUUUUGGCGACUAAAUUGCAAUAAUUGUCUUACACACACAAAGGCACCCAUGCAUGCAGGCUGGCGGGCAGGGAAUCACACACACACACACA